AUUGAACGCUGGCGGCAUGCUUUACACAUGCAAGUCGAACGGCAGCGCGGGCUUCGGCCUGGCGGCGAGUGGCGAACGGGUGAGUAAUGCAUCGGAACGUGCCCAGUAGUGGGGGAUAGCCCGGCGAAAGCCGGAUUAAUACCGCAUACGACCUGAGGGUGAAAGCGGGGGACCGAAAGGCCUCGCGCUAUUGGAGCGGCCGAUGUCGGAUUAGCUAGUUGGUGGGGUAAAGGCUUACCAAGGCGACGAUCCGUAGCUGGUCUGAGAGGACGACCAGCCACACUGGGACUGAGACACGGCCCAGACUCCUACGGGAGGCAGCAGUGGGGAAUUUUGGACAAUGGGGGCAACCCUGAUCAGCCAUGCCGCGUGCGGGAAGAAGGCCUUCGGGUUGUAAACCGCUUUUGUUCGGGAAGAAAUCCUCUGGGCUAAUACCCCGGGGGGAUGACGGUACCGGAAGAAUAAGCACCGGCUAACUACGUG
rnacentral:rRNA from 1 species